GAUGAACGCUGGCGGCGUGCCUAAUACAUGCAAGUCGAGCGAACGGACGAGAAGCUUGCUUCUCUGUUGUUAGCGGCGGACGGGUGAGUAACACGUGGAUAACCUACCUAUAAGACUGGGAUAACUUCGGGAAACCGGAGCUAAUACCGGAUGAUAUUUUGAACCGCAUGGUUCAAAAGUGAAAGACGGUCUUGCUGUCACUAAUAGAUGGAUCCGCGCUGCAUUAGCUAGUUGGUAAGGUAACGGCUUACCAAGGCAACGAUGCAUAGCCGACCUGAAAGUGUGUUAGGCCACACUGGAACGGAGGCAGGGUCCAGACUCCUACGGGAGGCAGCGGUAGGGAAUCUUGGGCAAUGGGCGAAAGCCUGACGGAGUAAGGCCGCGUGAGUGAUGAAGGUCUUCGGACCGUAAAACUCUGUGAUUGGGGAAGAACAUAUGUGUAAGUAACUGUGCAUAUCGUGACGGUACCUAAUCAGAAAGCCACGGCUAACUACGUG
rnacentral:rRNA from 1 species